rnacentral:rRNA from 1 species
AAUCAACGCUGGCGGCGUGCCUAACACAUGCAAGUCGAACGAGAAAGUGGAGCAAUCCAUGAGUAAAGUGGCGCACGGGUGAGUAACACGUGACUAACCUACCCUUGAGUGGGGGAGUAACCUAGGGGAAACCUAGGGCGUAAUACCGCAUAAUAUCGAGAGAUCAAAGGAGGCAAUUCGCUUAAGGAGGGGGUCGCGGCUGAUUAGCUAGUUGGUGGGGUAA